UUAUAGGGGCUAUGAAACAAUCUUGAAGUGUGCAUUUGAACAUUCCUGUCCUGUGAAAAAGCAAUUGAAUUUAGCGCCUUGCAGUUGUGAGUAUGCAUGCAGCAGUGAGAUAGACAGAACAAUGCAAGCGACUCUGGAGAACAAAUGCACUGCCAAAAGUGCUUAUGUGCAGUGUGCUAAGAAGUUUGGCUGUAAUCAAAUGCCAAUAAAGCUUAAGAAAAUCAUAUGUGUGUCUCCUCCUGUGAAUGGUUCUUCUUUCUUUGGAUCAAAGAUUCUACUUACGAUAAUAAUUGUUUUCACUAUUUUGUUUGCUUUUAUUACUACUAAUGUGAUUAUGGCUUAAAUACUAUUCUUCUAAAGCUUUAUUUUAUUUUUAUAAUUGAUAUUAAUCACUUGUUAGAUAACUUUAACAAUAAGUUUUUUGCUUUAUUAAAACUAUAUUUAUUAAAACAAGAUAAAAUAUUUGGGAUUGAAGUCAUAUACUGCCAAUACAUAUGCUGCUAAUAUAUUUACUUUAUAUAAAAAAUGAUGAUAGAGUCUUACAGUCCAUCAUGUUACCAUGUCUUAGAAAUCUACUGCUAGCACAUCGCUAAAGCCUUUAUAUGUGUCAGUCAUGUAGGAGUUCAUCCUCUCUCAACUGAAUUCAUAGUGAGUUCUGAAUUCAUAGUGAGUUUGAAUUCAUCAGUAGGUGGUUUAUCUCUUGUUUAGUAUAAAGCACCAACUCUAUGACUCUCUUUCGUCUAUUUUACUGCUUUAUAUUAUUUUUACUGUGCCUGCAUUAGCAUGAUAGUUUUGUACUUCUUGACUUUUGUAUAUUUUUGGAGCAGUAGUGAAACCAGUUGACUAAAAUAUGUUGGUAUCUAAAAAUAUGUAUCAUAGUAUUAUGUGGAAUAAGAUUUAGAAUCAACAAGUAGGGACUGGAUUCUUAUGUUACAUCUAGUGCACGAUGCUCAAUGUUAUCUUCAAUGUCAAAUUACAGAUACUAUAAUACCAACAAUUAACUGAGCUAAUUAUUUGAUUUGGUUUUGUAAUUUGCCAUUUCUCUUUUGGGAUGUCUUCUUUAAAUCCUAACUUAAUAAAUAAUCAUAAUAAUAGAGUUGUUUUUAUAUUUACCAUUUGAGGCCUGAUUACAGUUAAAUGAAUGUCUGAAAACCACAAAUAGUUGCUUUUAUUAAAAGAAGACAUUAUGUUUACAACAGUGCAACAAUACUAUUUCAGAAAGGUUAUUGAAUGUACUUGCAACAACUGUUGCAUUUAUGAUUAUCAUUGCUGGGUUUGAUGUAAAAAAAAUAGUUACUAAAAGAUUCAGUUUGAGUCAAAUUUAUAUCCGGGAGGUUACAAAAUGAAGUAACUUAACUUUCAAUUUCCAACUAAUUAAGUAUCUAUUUAGCUGGCAUUAAUAUAUUAUUCAUUAUUUGACCUAGGGUGAUCCUGAGUUCGCAGUUGAAUUACAAUUUUAAUUUUGUUGAUUUUUGUAAGAAGACUAGGCUGAAUUAGCAAGCCUGAUUAUGGGAAUACACAAGCAUUGUGAGAUACAUAUUAAAGACUGUAAUGGAUGGAAUUAUGACAAUUCUGCCAACAUAUCUGGUGAAUACAUACUUUCUGUAUGUUCAUAACUUUUGGCAAUUUAUUGAACACCACCACCACUACUACUAUUACUACAAGAUUUAUUAAGAGUGGAAGUAGGUUCUGGAGCUGAGCCAGGAGCAGAGUGUUGGUAGGUACCCAAGUGUUAAACUUCCAGAAGAUAAUGCAGAAUCUACUUUACAAGAUUUUUGUGUAUAACAGGUUAACAGAUAAUAAAUGUACAAUGAUACUUAACAGUAAUAAGUGCUGUUUGGUGCCUUGUUACUCACUAGACAUCUUGGCAGAGUUAUUGUAUUUCUGCCCACGUUGGUCUCAAAGUGUUUGAAUGUCUUCAUAAUUAUGCUUGUCAAGUAUUACAACAAUCAACAAAAUUUAAAAAUCAUUCUUGAACCACAGAUUCAGUACCACCAUCCAUCACAUAAUGUAUAAUGACCAUUGAUUGUAUUACAUGGCUAGAAUUUUGAGUUACAUUAAUCGAGAUUGAACAUCUUGAUGGAUAUUGAUGAAAUAUCAUCAAUAUCCAUCUAAUAAAAUCUUUAGGAUAAUCUUUUGGAUGCAGCAGGCACUCUUUCCAAAUCACAUCUGCAUAUUCUUUAACUGAAAUAUCUGAAGGAUAAAGUCCAGUAUCAACCUCACAUGUUUUAGGUAUGUUUUCUGUUGAAAGUUGGCUCUUGUGUUCUUGGACUGUUUCUGCACAUGCUUCUGUCAUGUUUUACAGGCUUUCUGUUGAUUUUCCAUGUCAAGCCUACUGUCAUGAUUGUAUCUCCAACAGUGCUGGUAUAACAUGAGCCUACAGAAGUGAGCCCAUGUACUGGAACAAUAUGCUGCCAAUCAUGCUGGAAGCCAAUCACAUAUAACAUCCAAGAACCUCUGAAUACUUCUUUUUCCCUUUCAUUCAAGCUGCCCUCCAAUUCAUCCCUUUUUAUGUGCACCAUAUUUGUGCUGGUAAGUUGACAUGGUAGAAAUUCUGUAAGGAAAGCAAAAAAAUUUAAUAUUUAAGAUUCACCUCAAGACCCAUUUCCAUUUUAGUGGACUUUUGGUUGGAUUUUGGGGAAAAUGAAUGUUAUUUCUCCUGUUAAUGAUUUCUGACUAUCCAUGGAAGUGCCUUGUUAGCAUAUAAAUUAUGUGUUAUUGGAUAUAUUUUCUAUAAUUAUUUUGUGAAGAUUUUUUUCUGCUGUAUAGACAAAUAAAAUAAAUAUACUUUUUUUCAUUUAAAUUGCAUUUAUUCAAUCAAAUUGCAUAAUUAAAGCUCUUAAAGUGUUGCCUUAUAA